UGCACUCACUACUGUAAGUCACUCUGGAUAAGAGUGUCUACUAAAUGUAAAAAU
rfam:Salmo salar isolate Sally breed double haploid chromosome ssa16, whole genome shotgun sequence.